rnacentral:lncRNA from 1 species
AUGAGCAUUUAUCCGCUCCUUCCGGAUGGUUUCACCGCCUGCACCAAGUACCCAGGAGUGCAGCUAGCAGCUGCCACAGCUGCCAGCAUCCUGGCAGACUCGGGUGAUUCCAGCCACGGCCAACAAACUGCACAUAGAUUGAUUUCACUCUCAUUUUUGCAGCUCAGGCCAACGGGGAAUGUAAACCGCACUGACCAAGCAAAGUUGGGGAAGUUGCCAGCAAAUGCAGAAAAAAGGAAAGGAAGGAAGAUGUGGAAAGCACAAGAUCUGACCUCUUUUAAGAGUGAUUUGAUGUUUCUUCAAGCAACACCCCGUCCCUAUGAAGAAAUGCCAACAGAGGAGAAGUUUCAAGCUUGCUAUUUUUAUUUAAACUGUUGGAACAGUAUGGACAUAAUAAGUGUUUUGGAACAGACAUCAGUGUCCAAAGCCCAUUAG